UCAGGGGAAGAUGUAGAACUCAGCUCCUCCUACACUGUGCUUACCUGGAUGCUGCAAUGCUGCCAUGCUCUGCCUUGAUGAUAAGGGACUGAACCUCUGAACCUGGAGAAAUAGAUGCUGGAGGCAGACUCACUGACAGGAAGCCAAAGCUGACCUGGCCUCCCAUCAUCUGAUUCCCUGCAUGUGUGGUUGGCUCCAGGGAAUAGCCUGUCCUCCUUCCUACCCAAGGGUCUAUAAAGCUCUUUAUCACCCCAGCAGGAAUGGGCAAGAACCUGGCAGGAUACCAAGGUGCUCAAGAAGAAUGUUGAGCAUCUGUUUGACAUGUUGGUGAAGCCUUCCAGAAUCAUCUGCAGCCCUCCUGCUUGCCAAAGAUUCUGCACAUGUCCUGGAGGUUGACUUUUUCCUGCUUCCUCCUCACUUUAUCUUACCCUUCUCCAGCUUAUCUGCCUGUAGUAUUUCUCAGAGGCCAUUACUCUAAAAGGUCACUAUCGUUUUGCUGAUAGAGUCAAUUGAAACUGGGCGUGCGGUGCAGUGGUCCAAUAGAAAGAGUUGGCCUGUUGAGUUGACUUCACUGCGAACACAAACAAGACUCAGCUUACAUUUAUACUCACAGCUAUAAUUUAAUAUCACAA
rnacentral:lncRNA from 1 species